rnacentral:rRNA from 1 species
CCUACGGGAGGCAGCAGUAGGGAAUAUUGGGCAAUGGGCGAAAGCCUGACCCAGCGACGCCGCGUGAGGGAUGAAGGUCUUCGGAUUGUAAACCUCUUUCAGUAGGGAAGAAGCGAAAGUGACGGUACCUACAAAAGAAGCACCGGCUAACUAUGUGCCAGCAGCCGCGGUAAUACAUAGGGUGCAAGCGUUGUCCGGAAUUAUUGGGCGUAAAGAGCUCGUAGGUCGUUUGUUACGUCGGAUGUGAAAACCUGAGGCUCAACCUCAGGCCUGCAUUCGAUACGGGCAAACUAGAGUUUGGUAGGGGAGACUGGAAUUCCGGGUGUAGCGGUGGAAUGCGCAGAUAUCAGGAGGAACACCAAUGGCGAAGGCAGGUCUCUGGGCCAAUACUGACACUGAGGAGCGAAAGUCUGGGGAGCGAACAGGAUUAGAUACCCUGGUAGUCCAGACCGUAAACGGUGGGCACUAGUUGUGGGAACCUUCCACGGUUUCUGCGACGCAGCUAACGCAUUAAGUGCCCCGCCUGGGGAGUACGAUCGCAAGAUUAAAACUCAAAGGAAUUGACGG